rnacentral:rRNA from 1 species
GAUGAACGCUAGCUACAGGCUUAACACAUGCAAGGUCGAGGGGAAACGACAUUGGAAGCUUGCUCCUUUGGGCGUCGACCGGCGCACGGGUGAGUAACGCGUAUCCAACCUUCCCGCAAGUAAGGGAUAACCCGUAGAAAUNCGGCCUAAUACCUUAUGUUUUCCCUUAGAGGGCAUCUGAUGAGGAACAAGAUCCGUCGCUUGCGGAUGGGGGAUGCGUCUGAUUAGUUAGUCGGCGGGGUAACGGCCCACCGAGACGACGAUCAGUAGGGGUUCUGAGAGGAAAGUCCCCCACAUUGGAACUGAGACACGGUCCAAACUCCUACGGGAGGCAGCAGUGAGGAAUAUUGGUCAAUGGGCGGAAGCCUGAACCAGCCAAGUAGCGUGCAGGACGACGGCCCUAUGGGUUGUAAACUGCUUUUAUGCGGGGAUAAAGUGGGCCACGCGUGGCCUUUUGCAGGUACCGCAUGAAUAAGGACCGGCUAAUUCCGUG